rnacentral:rRNA from 1 species
CCUACGGGUGGCAGCAGUGGGGGAUAUUGCACAAUGGAGGAAACUCUGAUGCAGCGACGCCGCGUGAGGGAAGACGGUCUUCGGAUUGUAAACCUCUGUCUUUGGGGAAGAAAAUGACGGUACCUAAAGAGGAAGCUCCGGCUAACUACGUGCCAGCAGCCGCGGUAAUACGUAGGGGGCGAGCGUUGUCCGGAAUUACUGGGUGUAAAGGGAGCGUAGGCGGGCGAGAAAGUUGAAUGUUAAAUCUACGGGCUUAACUGGUAGCUGCGUUUGAAACUUCUUGGCUUGAGUGCAGUAGAGGUAGGUGGAAUUCCUAGUGUAGCGGUGAAAUGCGUAGAUAUUAGGAGGAACACCAGUGGCGAAGGCGGCCUGCUGGGCUGUAACUGACGCUGAGGCUCGAAAGCGUGGGGAGCAAACAGGAUUAGAUACCCCGGUAGUC